GUUCUGACUUUUUUUUCAACAAUAAUAUGAGCAAUUAGCCAUAUAGAAAAGAGAAUUUAAUAAAAUUUAGUCAGGUCAAAUAAAAUGCAACUUUAAAAUUUUCUAAAUUACCUAAACCUAAAAAAUAAUUUUCCAAAAUUGCAUGCUGCUCCGCCACUGCAUUCUCUUUGCUGCAGUGGACCAAAGGUUACCUGAAUUUCUGUCUUUUCCAUUUAUGCCCGUUUAUUUGCAAGGUAUGUAGGGAGGGGAUAGAUGGGCUUUCUCUGAUAAUCCAAUCGGUGGAUGAUCCAGCAUAAAACAAAAGGUUUUAUAGAGGUUUCACUGUAUACUAUUGACGAGGGUUUGAAAAAUCUCCAAGUGCAUGUGCUUCAGCUGCCUUUGGUGAUUCAGUGAUUCUUACUUGACCAUCAAAAUUGAGUGCAAUUUGAGGCAGCAGAGAACAAGUGAUACUUGUUCAGUACUAGAAUUUGAUUAGCACUGGAACCUUGAACUUUGAACAGCUGAUUCUUGAAGUAACCGAUCAUGUGCUUGCUAGUUAGUGAUUUCGAUUUCAAAUAGCUCGAUGUACUAUGGA